rnacentral:pre_miRNA from 1 species
AUGACAGAAGAGGAGAGAGCACACUCCCAACAAAGGCAAAGACUCCUUUAACCAUUCCCGGGUUGUGCUCUCUCUCUUCUGUCAA